rnacentral:rRNA from 1 species
AUGGCGGCGGUGCUUCACGCGGCGAGGAUGCUCGGCAAUCGCGCUGCCCUCCAGCAGGGGCGACAAGCCGUCGCUUCUGUUGCGGUGGAGGGACGACAUCGAUUCAUCGACAAGUGCGAGGUUGCUGCCAAGUGUCAUCCGGACUAUGUACGUUGGGCUACUAUGAGCAGACAGGAGCAACUGGCGGCAUUGCUCUGCUUUGACCCAUUGACGGUGCCGGAAAAUAUCCGAAAGACAGUAGAAGAGAGGAACAAACUUUGUAUCCUAAUCUUGGACAAGUACCCGCACAUGAUCCGGCACGUCGGUCGUCUUCCUGACGAACCUUGCUUAGCAUCGCGCGCACUCUUUAUAGUGUCUACGGUGGCUUCGGGGAUCCUCCUUCAAAAUAAAUUGGGCCGGAAGGGAAAACGGUACAGAUAUGCCCCCGUCCUCUCCCUCCCCUCCCUGAACCCUACGUCCCUACCCCUCAUAUCUCCCAAACUGACCGCCGUUGUCGUCGCUUCAAGAGAGAGAUGGAGAGGCUAUCUAAAAGGAUUUGUGCAGAUGGGGGAGGCGGCGGAGAAGGAUGAUCGAGGACUCAAGGAGGGGAAGGAGGAGAUGGUGACCAGCACGGUUCCUCCGACCAGGAAGACGCGGGCACUUGCGGGGGUGGAUGAGUCUUCUCCAACGGUGCGCCGAAAUCCAAACCCACCUGCGAUUUUUUGCCCCCAAUUUUCUCUUCUUCUGGAAAUGCUUUUGGACGCCAUGAUAAUGGAGGCCAGGAAGGGGUUGAUGGAGAGGGAGAGGGAGAGGGAUCAGCUCCCAGUCGGCAUGCAAGGUCAUGGCCGUCCGGGCGUCGAUGAUGGCCCCGUGUGCAGUGUGCCUCAAAGUUUUGAUGGUCCUCCUCCGAUGCUGCCAGAAUCAUGUCACAUCAUCAUCUUCAAGGCCAAGAUCAACGUGCUCCUGCGCUUCAGGCCCUUUGUCAUCACGCUUCACUACCUCUCCCAAAACCACACAAGGAUGCGUUCUCUCUUUGUGUUCACACCAUUUGGUGAGAGAUUGGAAUAUGUAACCAAAUCAAAGGAAUUCAAGGUGCAUAUCUUUGACAAGCCAAGUGGGAUUGCGGCUCAGGUACUCAUCAAGCAUAAUCUCCUGAGACUUCAGGAAGCACCUCUCUGA